rnacentral:siRNA from 1 species
UUACAUUGUGACUACACUGCUGAU